AGAGAUGAAGAGGAUGACUUCCAGCUCCUAUUUCAGCCACUAAUCGUGGUGUUACUAAUGACAUAAUUCUUGUCUAGGCCUUGCUAAAUCUGAGGUUGACAAUUCUCUUUUAAGAGCUGCACAAUACUCAGAAUUGUGCAUACUGUUUCAUAAUCAUACGAAUACAGUAUGAGUACCGCUUGGUACAGAAAAUCACUACAGGGAGAAGUCUAGCUUGACCAUUUCUGAGUUCCCUGUGUGAAAUACCCGGUUUAGAUGGAGGUUGGUAUUUAAUUCCAGCUAAAACCCAAAAAUAUCUAAGGCUCUGCCUCCCCUCCCACAAAGAUACCAAGAGCCACAAGUAUAGGUCAUGACAACACCCAUGGGAGAAAUUGGGUCAAUGUCCACCCAAGCCAAGGUUAAAAGCCCACUCAUCUACAGAUAAAAAAAUCAUUUGAUCACCUCAGUUAAGCGUGGCCUUAUUAAACUUAAUUAUUGGGGGAGAAAAAGGUUGAAGACCGUACGGUCAGAAGGGCAAGCCCUUCACAGCCUCCAGCCCUAAAAAAGCCAGUUGGCCUUAUACUACGGAGCCACUCGUUACCCCCUCCUCCCUGUUUCUUGCCUGUCAUCCAAAAAUGUGGAGAAAUAUCAACUCAGUGUUAUUCUUAAUAAAGUGCAUUUCAAAUUCAUACAGUCAACCCUCACCAGGGUCCCAACGACCUACUUAAAAUUCAACUAGGAAGUUACCUAUUCAGUACUAAUUAACAUUAUAAAGUCAGAGCCUACAGCUCAGGGCUUUUCUGUUAGUUGUUUACUAGGACAGAAAGGGCAGUCUUAUCCAGAUACGGUUUUCCAUAAAAAUAGUUGGGAAAUCCUACGGAGACGGGCUUUCUCUUUAGCCCUAAGAUUUCAGGCAGAACUAUUGAGCAUAGAUAAAUUUUUUUACCUCAGGCUAGCCUUUUUUUUUUUUUUUUAAUUAACAACAGGGAGGAGAUGUAGCCUCCCCUCCCCCAGUCUUAAUGGUUCCACUGUUUACACCUGGAUGGAGCUUGCUGCUCAAUAGUUCUGCCACGCCCACUGCUGGAACCUGCCGCUUUCCUGUCCUGAAGCCAUCACGUGGUCAUCCUGCUACUGGACCCCAAGAUUAUUUGGCGGGAAUCGGGCCCCCUUCCCCUGCUUCAUAACUGCGUGCAGAAUAGUAAAAUUGAGCUUUGAUCAGAAUGCCUGUCUUAGCUGCAUCCUUUUCUUGCCCACCUAGCCCUUCUUCUCUUCCAGGUUUCCAAAAUGCCUUUCCAGGCUAGAACCCAGGCUGUGAUCUGCUGGCCAGACACAACAUUUGGUGCCUAACGUGGGGCUGAGAAACAGCAAAGGACUUUUGGAAGAGGCACUGCUGGUUUAGAGCUCCAUAGAAGAAGAAGAAAAUAAUUAAAGG
rnacentral:lncRNA from 1 species